rnacentral:rRNA from 1 species
GACGAACGCUGGCGGCGUGCCUAGUACAUGCAAGUAGAACGCUGAAGGAGGAGCUUGCUCUUCUGGACGAGUUGCGAACGGGUGAGUAACGCGUAGGUAACCUGCCUGGUAGCGGGGGAUAACUAUUGGAAACGAUAGCUAAUACCGCAUAACAGUAGAUGUUGCAUGACAUUUGCUUAAAAGGUGCAAUUGCACCACUACCAGAUGGACCUGCGUUGUAUUAGCUAGUUGGUGGGGUAACGGCUCACCAAGGCGACGAUACAUAGCCGACCUGAGAGGGUGAUCGGCCACACUGGGACUGAGACACGGCCCAGACUCCUACGGGAGGCAGCAGUAGGGAAUCUUCGGCAAUGGACGGAAGUCUGACCGAGCAACGCCGCGGGAGUGAAGAAGGGUUUCGGAUCGUAAAGCUCUGUUGUAAGAGAAGAACGAGUGUGAGAGUGGAAAGUUCACACUGUGACGGUAUCUUACCAGAAAGGGACGGCUAACUACGUG